UCAAUGGAGUUAGUUUGGCCAGGGAGAGAGGAGUACAAGCUGUGUGGGUCUGUUCCUCCAUGUUUACCCCCUUUGUGUGCGAAGUAUGCGUCCUUGACUUGAACACUGGAGCAGCUCGACAGACCUAACAGCAGAUAGAAAGAUCCAUCUGACUUCAAUCCACCCAGAAGAACAAGAAGCAUUGAGAACGUCUUACACUAUCCAUUUGGCUUUAAUCCAAUCAGAAGAACAAGAAGCGUUGGCUCCUCAUAUCAUCCAUUUGGCUUCAGUCCACCCAGAAGAACAGAAAGCACUGAGAAUUACUCAGACUGUGGAGGAAGAAACAGUGCACAAAGCUCAGUGUCCAGUAUGGAGUCUUUGAAUCGAUAUCUUUGAUGUGAUUCCUUUGGUUUCCUUUGAAGAAAUAGGUUGUCAAGUUGCCUUGGAGAUAUAUUUGGCCAAGAGAGCCUUUCAUACAGUCCAUAAUGGAAUCUAGGACACUGACUGACUUUUAUACAAUUCUCACCUACAAAUCUGUGUGUAAUAUUUGAUAAUGGUCUUUAAAUCAAUAAGCAUACAUGUGCAGUGGCUAAAACAAGAGCAGUUAUCCAAAAUCAAGCUGUUUUUCAUCUUUCUCUGACAUUUCUCUGAAUAAUAUUUGUAUUUCAUUGUGGCGUCAUUAUUGUAAUUCAUUAUUCAAUGGAGCAAUUGGUGCAAAAUGUUUCUGUAAGGUUAUUACAGAUAUGCUCAGACAAUAGUUUAUUACUAUAAGGGCUUCAGGUCAUUGGUUUUUAUUGCCUUUUAUAAUGCAGUUAAAAGUCCUGCUUUUAGUACCCACUCCACUCUAAAAGAUUGAAAAAAGACUGAUGAGGCAAAGAUUCUGUAUUACUGCACUACCUCCUAUCUACGGUUAGGUUACUUUCAUACUUUGUAUAGUUUUUGUAUUUAUAUAUUCUUGUAUGUAUUCUUUGACCACUGUAGUAGGUGAGAUACUUAUCUAAGAUUACAGUAUUUUUUAUUUUUAUUUAUAUCUUAUAAGGUAUAGUCUGUCUGUAUGUCUGUCUAUCUAUCUAUCUGUCUAUCUAUCACAUUACCAUUUACCAAUGUCAUGGAAAAGCUAAAGUUUAAAAAAGGAAAUGAUCUGCUGACAAUUCCAAACACACCAGCUCAUCUGUGAAACACAGUGGAGGUAGUGUCAUGGCUUGGGCUUUGCUGAUGUACAGUGAACUCAGAAGUCUAGAGAAAUACUUUGUCUGUCAAUUUAAAGAAGGAUUUAACCAAGCUUUCUGUGAGAUCCUUCGUCAUGCUGCAAAGUAAAACAACAGGCAAGAAGAAUGCAAAAGUUUAGUGGUCAGUGGGUCUGUAAUUUUUACUCACAAGAAAAAUGUGUGGGUUCAGACAAAAUACUAAAUGUUGAUGAUUUGUCUUACAUUGAUAUUUUAAUGUCAAACCCAAAUGUUUUCAUUCUACAAAUAGAAAUAAAUAGAUUGGCCCCACUGUUCCAAUGCUUCUGGAGGGUAUUGUACAUAAAGGGCUAACUACAGUCACCUUUAAAAGCACUCCACACUCCAAAUAGGAAAGCACCGGCUGAAGCGCUGCUGACAAGAGCUGCCCGUGCUUUAACUCAGCAUGCUUGCUUAAUAUCUGAAAAUACAUCCUGAUCAUUAUCAUUUAAUAUUAAACAUAUAAUACUAAUUUGUUCUUUAAUGUCUCUCACACUCUGAGCCAAAAUAUUGGCAUUUCAUUAUUUAUCCAAACAUUUUUGGACACUGCUUUAUCAGCUAAAGUAUUGGUAUUCCACCAUUUUAGCCAACAUUUUUUGGAUUUUAGCAUUUGACCUAUUUUAUUUUUUCCCUAAGCCAACUUAAAGUUGGUUCACAAGCUUUCCCUUUCUAGUUAUCCUUUGUUAUAUAUUAUUGAUACAUGGCAUCAAUAUUUUAUCCUCUUCAGUAACACAUAUAGCGUGAAGUAUCAUAGAGAGUCGUGGUAUCAUCAUUACUCUUGGCAACAUAUUGUGAUAUGUUGGGCAACAUAAUCUGAUAAUAUCAUAUCAUGAGAUGUGAUUCCUUGCCACGCUGGUUACCUUCUUCUGCUUGCAGAGCUCAUGUCUCUCUAAACCAUCACUGAUUGGUGGAAACUUCACACUAGACCUCGAGCAGUUUGGACUGUGUGUCUCUCCACUCUUCCUCCAGACUCUUCUUCCUUGAUUUACUUUAAAUGAAAUGUAAAAUUUACUGAUGAUCAGUGAUGGUUUGGAGAGACAUGUCAUCUGCUGGUGUUGAUCCACUGUGUUUUAUUAUCAAGUCUAAAGUCAGUGCAGUUUUAUUUUCCCACAAAAUCUUACAGCACUUCAUGCUGAACCUCUGCUGACAACUUUCAUUUCAUUUUCCAGCAGGACUUGAAACAGCUGCCCACACUGCUAAAAGUACCAAUUGGUUGUAUAUAAUAUUCUAAUUUUUUGAGACACUGAUUUUUGGGUUUUUAUUGACUAUAAGCCAUAAUCAUCAACAAUAAAAUAAAUAAACACUUUAAAUAGA